rnacentral:rRNA from 1 species
GACGAACGCUGGCGGCGUGCUUAACACAUGCAAGUCGAACGAUGAACCCGGAGCUUGCUCCGGUGGAUUAGUGGCGAACGGGUGAGUAACACGUGAGUAACCUGCCCUUGACUCUGGGAUAACUGCGGGAAACUGUAGCUAAUACCGGAUACGACCCUCGGCGGCAUCGCCAGGGGGUGGAAAGAAUUUCGGUCAAGGAUGGACUCGCGGCCUAUCAGCUAGUUGGUGAGGUAACGGCUCACCAAGGCGACGACGGGUAGCCGGCCUGAGAGGAUAACCGGCCACACGGGGACUGGGACACGGCCCAGCCCCUGCGGGAGGCAGCAGUGGGGAAUAUUGCACAAGGGGGGCAAGCCUGAUGCAGCAACGCCGCGUGAGGAUGACGGCCUUCGGGUUGUAAACCUCUUUUAGUAGGGAAGAAGCGAAAGUGACGGUACCUGCAGAAAAAGCACCGGCUAACUACGUGCCAGCAGCCGCGGUAA